rnacentral:rRNA from 1 species
GCGGCGAGCGGCGGACGGGUGAGUAAUGCCUGGGAAUAUGCCCUGAUGUGGGGGAUAACUAUUGGAAACGAUAGCUAAUACCGCAUAAUCUCUUCGGAGCAAAGAGGGGGACCUUCGGGCCUCUCGCGUCAGGAUUAGCCCAGGUGGGAUUAGCUUGUUGGUGAGGUAAUGGCUCACCAAGGCAACGAUCCCUAGCUGGUCUGAGAGGAUGAUCAGCCACACUGGAACUGAGACACGGUCCAGACUCCUACGGGAGGCAGCAGUGGGGAAUAUUGCACAAUGGGGGAAACCCUGAUGCAGCCAUGCCGCGUGUAUGAAGAAGGCCUUCGGGUUGUAAAGUACUUUCAGUAGGGAGGAAGGCAGUGUCGUUAAUAGCGGCAUUGUUUGACGUUACCUACAGAAGAAGCACCGGCUAACUCCGUGCCAGCAGCCGCGGUAAUACGGAGGGUGCGAGCGUUAAUCGGAAUUACUGGGCGUAAAGCGCAUGCAGGCGGUCUGUUAAGCAAGAUGUGAAAGCCCGGGGCUCAACCUCGGAACAGCAUUUUGAACUGGCAGACUAGAGUCUUGUAGAGGGGGGUAGAAUUUCAGGUGUAGCGGUGAAAUGCGUAGAGAUCUGAAGGAAUACCGGUGGCGAAGGCGGCCCCCCUGGACAAAGACUGACGCUCAGAUGCGAAAGCGUGGGGAGCAAACAGGAUUAGAUACCCUGGUAGUCCACGCCGUAAACGAUGUCUACUUGGAGGUUGUGGCCUUGAGCCGUGGCUUUCGGAGCUAACGCGUUAAGUAGACCGCCUGGGGAGUACGGUCGCAAGAUUAAAACUCAAAUGAAUUGACGGGGGCCCGCACAAGCGGUGGAGCAUGUGGUUUAAUUCGAUGCAACGCGAAGAACCUUACCUACUCUUGACAUCCAGAGAACUUWSCAGAGAUGSWUUGGUGCCUUCGGGAACUCUGAGACAGGUGCUGCAUGGCUGUCGUCAGCUCGUGUUGUGAAAUGUUGGGUUAAGUCCCGCAACGAGCGCAACCCUUA